AUGCUUAACUAUGUUUUAAAUCAUAGUAAGGAUGAUCCCGUCAUCACGCAUAAGCUGGUCUCCCCUCUCCUAAUAGAGUUUGAUAUAAGGAUCAAGAACGGAGAGCGAGAGGAAGACGAUGAACAGCUGGUAGACGGAGCGAUAACUUGCAACGACUGCAGGGCAUGGAAACCAGUCAAGCAGCGCAUCAAAGGUGAUUGCGGUGCCGUCGACAUAUCCAUGACGUGUGUCGAGAAUGUGUUGGAGGCAACGACAGAGGUAGCCAUAUCAGAAGUGCGCAGCGGUUUCAGUCUAUCUCUGUGGUCCUUCAUUUAUGUCUUGGAUGAUGAGUACGAGGAGAUCCAGCUCUUCCAUGGUGCCAUUGAUCGGCCGUGUAGGUUGGGGAGGUUCGUGGUCGCAAUCACCUGGGGCGACGUGAUGGUGCUGAAGUUUAGGUUGGGUGGGGAAGAUGGCGUCGAACGGCGCCGCUCUUUUAAAUCUCAGCUGCUUGCGUGUUCUAGUCGGCGGAUAAAGCAUGAGCUGGCCAACAUCUUUGGUGAAGGUGACUUUGUCCAGUAUUUGAAUGUCCACAGACUAAUCUGUUGGAAAUAUGAGUAA
rnacentral:rRNA from 1 species